GAAGAAUUGAAAGACAAUUGGGGGAUAGCUGGGUGAAUGGAAAUGGUUUGUUUCGCUACCAGCAGCGUAGUGCAUCACCUGAAAUUGUUGAAGUACAUGAAGAGUCCUUCAGGUUAGAACCUGACAAGUCCAUGAACCUGGAAAUCGGUUCUGUUGUGCUGAUAGAAGAUUCAAACUGGAAGAAGGAUUAUCAGAUAAAUGAAGUCCUAACAGAUGGAGAAAUUCCGUAUUACAUUGCGUCUUCUGUCGAAGAUCCUGGCACGACUUCAUUUUUAUAUGUUGGUUCACAUCCUUCUCUGCUGGAACCAGCGUGGGAAGAUAUGAAACUGUGGUAUCAAGUUCAGAGGCAGACAAAGGUAUUGGGCGUUAUGAAGCAAAAGGAGUUGUCCAGCAAGUAUCUACCUCAGUUGGAUGCAUCUGGGCGGAUAAUUCAUCCUGGCCAAUGCAGGAGACCAAGCUCGGGCGGUAACUGUGAUCGUCAAUGGUGUGGAACUCCAGUUUUAAUGACUAGUCCAGUGGGCAGAACAGUUGCUGAUUUGGUGAGACUUGGCCACUUUGGUAGCGAUGAGGCUAUUAGAUGUUGCCAUGACUGUUUAGCUGCCCUUUCUGCUGCUGCCUCAGUUGGCAUUCGGCACGGAGAUAUCAGGCCUGAGAACGUUGUUUUUGUUAAUUCUGGUGUGAGGCAACCUUAUUUUGUUCUCGUUGGUUGGGGACAUGCUAUUUUAGAAGAGAGGGAUCGUCCUGCAAUGAAUUUACAUUUCUCCUCUACCUAUGCCCUUCAAGAAGGGAAACUGUGCUCAGCCUCUGAUGCAGAGAGUCUCGUGUACAUGCUUUACUUCUCUUCUGGUAGUAACAUGCCUAAUUUGGAUUCGGUUGAAGGGGCACUGCAGUGGAGAGAAACCUCUUGGUCAAAAAGGUUGAUCCAACAGAAGCUAGGAGAUAUUUCUGCUGUCUUGAAAGCAUUCGCAGAUUAUGUUGACAGCCUCUGUGGAACGCCAUAUCCUAUGAAUUUUGAUAUCUGGCUCACAAGGUUAAAGAGACAUAUUCCUGAUGAUGAUCAUGGAAAACAGAUUGAUACCUCGAGUUAGAGAUUUUUGUUUUCAGCUAUGGAAGCCUUGCAGCACGAAUACUUUGUGGCUCUUGACAGUCUUUCAAGAUCUUCAGGAGUACAGGAAGAUGGAUCCCUUCUAUUAGUAGGUCAUCAAUGCCGGGCAGGAGUUCACGUAGGGGUCUACCAACUUGAACAGUAAAUCAACAUGAAACUUGAAGUUUUAAGAGUUAAUGGUCCCUGGAGCAUGCGGUACUCAUUAGCUAUCCAGCUUUUGCAUUUGUGAACAGUUACAGAGGUGUUUCUUUUUCUUUUUUCUUGUGUCAAAUGUGAUUAUUUGUUGUAAAGACAGGAACUUGUUGAGAUUUCCCUGAGUGAGAUAUGUGUGAUUGUUUACUUUACAG
rnacentral:misc_RNA from 1 species